rnacentral:rRNA from 1 species
UAACGCUUCGAAGAGGUGCUAAUACCGGAUAUGAGUCCCUCCGGCAUCUGAGGGACUGGAAGUUUUCGGUCAGGGAUGGGCCCGCGGCCUAUCAGCUUGUUGGUGAGGUAACGGCUCACCAAGGCGACGACGGGUAGCCGGCCUGAGAGGGCGACCGGCCACACUGGGACUGAGACACGGCCCAGACUCCUACGGGAGGCAGCAGUGGGGAAUAUUGCGCAAUGGGCGAAAGCCUGACGCAGCAACGCCGCGUGAGGGAUGACGGCCUUCGGGUUGUAAACCUCUUUCAGCAGGGAAGAAGCGAAAGUGACGGUACCUGCAGAAGAAGCACCGGCUAACUACGUGCCAGCAGCCGCGGUAAUACGUAGGGUGCAAGCGUUGUCCGGAUUUAUUGGGCGUAAAGAGCUCGUAGGCGGUUAGUCACGUCGGAUGUGAAAACCCGGAGCUUAACUCCGGGCCUGCAUUCGAUACGGGCUGACUAGAGUGUUGUAGGGGAG